UCUGCUCGCAGGAGACACAGAGACCAGCUGAUCAACAUCUCUGCAGGAUAAUCCUCCCAGCACCUGAAGACAGCUGUGGCAGCUUAAGGAUCCGAGGCUAAUCUGCACAGAGAUGCCAACAUGAAACUAUCGUGCACAAUACCUUGGUUCUCUGCAAGGAUGGGGAUCUGUGGGCGUGGCCGUGUCGACUUGUUGAGACUCCUGCCUCGGACUCUGGUUAACUGAGGCUGAAGGCGCACGCCACCACACCCACAUUUCCUCUGUUCUCUUCAUCGUUGUGUCUCCGGUGUCCAGAACAAUGCACAGCUCACACUAGGGGCUCGGGACACACUGAAUGAAGGA